CUCCCAGGGACGCUGUUCGAGUGCUGGAAGAGACCGCUCCCAACCUGAAGCGGGAGAAAGUUUGAGGCUAGAGGCGGGUAAGGCGGCUGGAGCAUCCGCCUAAGUAGCCAGACAGAAAACUCCCGGCCCAAGCCAUGGUCUCUCCAAUCCAUCAUCCUUUCUCCAUCGCCAUGAUCUCAGCCAGAUCUUUGCAUCCUGAACAGAGGCAAGGAAUAAGAAGUGCCCAGCAGAUCCACUUGUAAGACUGGCCUUGACCCUCUGCUAGCAUCUCCAUUGGACAAGUUAUCUGUCAUUGUCCUCUGUGGACUCAGUCAGCACUCUUGGCCACCUCCAUCCAUGCACAAGAGAGAUGUCUGUGUAUCUUACAAACUCAUCAGGUUGUGUGGAUGUUCAACAAAGUGUUGGGACCACU